rnacentral:sRNA from 1 species
ACAACAUUUUAACAAUACUAAUCGCAAAAAAUAUUUGUAUAAACCCGGAUUCCGCAAUAGAAGAAAGUUGUUGAGGGGCUGAAUUGUUUAGGUGUUUAGGUGUUUAAUUGUUGAAUUGUUUAGCUGUUGAGAUGUUUGCUGACCGCUGACUAACUGAAUACUGAACACUGACCGCUGUAACAGCCCUGAAAGGGCGUGUUAAUUCAGCCCAAUGCGAAGCGUUGGGGAAAAAGGCAUCGCAUCUCGGCAGAGGGCUGUAAGCCUGACGUAAUUCUAUUGUCAAUUGUUAUGCGUGGUACACGCCGAAUCAUGUACCUGGAAAAUAACCAUUGACAAUUAAUUCCGGCGUUCGUCCCUUCGGCCUCGGGCGGUGAGCCGACGGAGCAGUGAGCGGGGCGAAAGAAAAUCAGGCUGUCCGAGCGAAGCGAGUUACCUGAUUUUCCGGCCUGCAAGCGUCGCGAAGGCGUGUGAAGCGCACGAAGCCUUGACCUUUUGGUUACUUUUGGGUCAAGCCAAAAGUGACAAAAAAAAGAGAUUCAUCGCUUCGCUCUGAAUGACAAAAGACCGAACACGGAGGAACAUCCCCCCAGCCCCCCUUCAAAGGGGGGAAGAGCGAAGCGAAGGGGGAUGUUAUCCCUUCGGAAGGGGGAAGAGCGGAGCGCAGCGUUGGGGAAAAAGGCAUCGCAUCUCGGCGGAGGGCUGUAAGCCUGACGUAACCAUUGUCGUACAUUCGCACGUCUAUUAUUAACGGUAAACGCCGAACAGUGUAUCGCGUAAUUUGGGAUAAAACAAACCAAACGCGUAUAUUUGAGGGAUAACUGAAAUCCGUAAAAAACAAAUUAAACAUUAAUACAGACUUAAACAACAAAAGGUU